GUAGGUGGCAAGCGUUGUCCGGAAUUAUUGGGCGUAAAGCGCGCGCAGGCGGUCCUUUAAGUCUGAUGUGAAAGCCCACGGCUCAACCGUGGAGGGUCAUUGGAAACUGGGGGACUUGAGUACAGAAGAGGAAAGCGGAAUUCCACGUGUAGCGGUGAAAUGCGUAGAGAUGUGGAGGAACACCAGUGGCGAAGGCGGCUUUCUGGUCUGUAACUGACGCUGAGGCGCGAAAGCGUGGGGAGCAAACAGGAUUAGAUACCCUGGUAGUCCACGCCGUAAACGAUGAGUGCUAAGUGUUAGGGGGUUUCCCGCCCCCUUAGUGCUGCAGCUAACGCAUUAAGCACUCCGCCUGGGGAGUACGGCCGCAAGGCUG
rnacentral:rRNA from 1 species